CAGCGGGCUUGGGUCGUCCGGCCGCGGGGACAGGGAAGACCAGAGGACUACCAGCCCCAGGAAGCUUCCCACCACCAGUAAACUGCAUUUGAAGAAUAAUUGCUUCAAAGCAUAAAAUACAAGACAAGUAUAAAUCGAAGGACUGAAUACUAGAGUUUCGUGGGGAGUUUCCUCAAAGCACACAUCCGCUUCCUGCAGGGAGACUAAUGGCGGCGCUACACAGAGACCACUGCAUGGCCAUCAGACUCCACCCCCUUUCCUUCCUGGACGCACAGUUUUAGCACAUUUCCCAGAUGCUCUUAUCGGGGUCAUGUGACUGAGGUCUGGCCAAUGAAAACUGUGUACACCACUUGCAAGUUUGGCCCCUAAAAAUCAUCUUGCACAGGUCUCCAAGUUCUGUCUUGUGUUUUGAGCAUCAGAUGCACAGAAUUCAAAGACUGAGUUUUGGGGGGGGGGAUGGAAGAGGCGCCCCGAGAGAGUAUGUGGAAUAGAUUUUCCCCUCUUCCUCCCACUGUACUUGCACUGGAUUGUGACUGGAGCAAGAAGUGAACCUACGUUGCAAUAGGUCCCUGAGAUAUUGCAGUACGUUAUAAUGCUAUGGUAUUCAAAACCGGAACGGUGAUGAUGCUGUGACAGAUCAGUGGAUUGAAGUCAAAGACCCAGAGGCAUAUUCAAGUACAUAUAAAUGUCACUGUUCUGUAUACUCUAUGUAUACAAAAACAUAUAUACGUAUGUAUAGGUUUCUGAGCCUUCUGAGUGAACAUCUCUUGUUCCUUAUAUUCCCUUUUUAUUCCCUUUUCUACAUAUAUAUAUAUUUUAAAAUCAUAGUGCUAUAGCAAAGCCUUCAAAAAAGCUCCCAAUGUUCCCCACCUCCCAGUUCACACCCUGGGCUCUUGGAUCACUUGCUCUGGGGAAGGGGGCUGUAGCAGGAGAAGAUGCUGCGAGCAGCCUCUGGAGAAGCCCAUGUGACUAGGAACCGAGAACCCCAGCUGACAGCCAGCAAGUCAGUGAGGGCUGCCAAGGAACAUGUGAGUGAGCAAAGAAGUGGAUCUUCCCGCAGCUGAGCCUUCAGAGGACCGCAGUUCAAGCGACAGCUGACCCAGAACCGCUCAACUCUGCCACUCCCAGAGUCCUAAUUCUCAGAAACCCUGUGAGAUAAUAAGUGUUUGUUGGUUUAAGCUGCUCUGCUAAGUGUUGGGGUAAGUCGUUUCACAAUAGAUAAUUAAAACACAUGGCAUAUAAAUAAAAUCAAUCAGACCAAUGCGGGUCAAUGAUUAGUGAGUUAAGAUGCUUUGACAGAUUUGGACACUUCUGUUUCAUCUUAAUUGUUUGCCUCAAAAGUAAUCCCUAAGGGCAAAACAUGUUAAAAGCUGUUCCCAACAGGAUGUUAGAAAAAUUAACAAUUAGCUUUGGGAACUAAAGUGUAACCACAGCAUUAUUUUCCGUUUUAUUAAACUCAUUAAA